ACGACGUUGUAAAACGACGUUAUGCAUGAACGUAAUGCUCACAAUUUCCCUCUAGACCUAGCUGCUGUUGAAGCUCCAUCUACAAAUGGAUAAGACUUUUGUCUUAGUGUAUAUGUAUAUGAGUUUUUGAAAAUAAAGGAACAAUACUCAAUUUCUUGUUUUAUCAAGAAUUUUGGUAUUGUUCCUUUAUUUUAUUUAAUAGUUUUUCUACUUAGAAUUACUUAAUUAGAAUUAUUUAUUCUUAUUAGAGAAUUACUUAGAAUGUUAGUCUAUUUUAGUCUAUUCUUAGAAUUUUUUAUUCUAUUUUAGACAAAGUAGUUGUAUUCUUAUUAUUGUUAUUAUAUGAUAUGGUUUAAU
rnacentral:misc_RNA from 1 species